UGGGGAAUCUUGCACAAUGGGGGCAACCCUGAUGCAGCGACGCCGCGUGAGCGAUGAAGCCCUUCGGGGCGUAAAGCUCUUUCGACCGGAACGAUAAUGACGGUACCGGGAGAAGAAGCUGCGGCUAACUACGUGCCAGCAGCCGCGGUAAUACGUAGGCAGCAAGCGUUGUUCGGAGUUACUGGGCGUAAAGAGUGCGUAGGCGGUGUUCUAAGUUCGGUGUGAAAUCUCCCGGCUUAACUGGGAGGGUGCGCCGAAGACUGGGAAGCUGGAGUGUGGGAAAGGCAGGCGGAAUUCCUGGUGUAGCGGUGAAAUGCGUAGAUAUCAGGAGGAACACCGGCGGUGUAGACGGCUUGCUAGACCAUAACUGACGCUGAGGCACGAAAGCGUGGGUAGCAAACA
rnacentral:rRNA from 1 species